rnacentral:rRNA from 1 species
ACAGGCUUAACACAUGCAAGUCGAGGGGCAGCAUGGUCUUAGCUUGCUAAGGCCGAUGGCGACCGGCGCACGGGUGAGUAACACGUAUCCAACCUGCCGUCUACUCUUGGACAGCCUUCUGAAAGGAAGAUUAAUACAAGAUGGCAUCAUGAGUCCGCAUGUUCACAUGAUUAAAGGUAUUCCGGUAGACGAUGGGGAUGCGUUCCAUUAGAUAGUAGGCGGGGUAACGGCCCACCUAGUCUUCGAUGGAUAGGGGUUCUGAGAGGAAGGUCCCCCACAUUGGAACUGAGACACGGUCCAAACUCCUACGGGAGGCAGCAGUGAGGAAUAUUGGUCAAUGGGCGAGAGCCUGAACCAGCCAAGUAGCGUGAAGGAUGACUGCCCUAUGGGUUGUAAACUUCUUUUAUAAAGGAAUAAAGUCGGGUAUGGAUACCCGUUUGCAUGUACUUUAUGAAUAAGGAUCGGCUAACUCCGUGCCAGCAGCCGCGGUAAUACGGAGGAUCCGAGCGUUAUCCGGAUUUAUUGGGUUUAAAGGGAGCGUAGAUGGAUGUUUAAGUCAGUUGUGAAAGUUUGCGGCUCAACCGUAAAAUUGCAGUUGAUACUGGAUAUCUUGAGUGCAGUUGAGGCAGGCGGAAUUCGUGGUGUAGCGGUGAAAUGCUUAGAUAUCACGAAGAACUCCGAUUGCGAAGGCAGCCUGCUAAGCUGCAACUGACAUUGAGGCUCGAAAGUGUGGGUAUCAAACAGGAUUAGAUACCCUGGUAGUCCACACGGUAAACGAUGAAUACUCGCUGUUUGCGAUAUACAGCAAGCGGCCAAGCGAAAGCGUUAAGUAUUCCACCUGGGGAGUACGCCGGCAACGGUGAAACUCCAAGGGAAUUGACGGGGGGCCCGCACAAGCGGAGGAACAUGUGGUUUAAUUCGAUGAUACGCGAGGAACCUUACCCGGGCUUAAAUUGCAGAUGAAUUGCGGUGAAAGCCGUAAGCCGCAAGGCAUCUGUGAAGGUGCUGCAUGGUUGUCGUCAGCUCGUGCCGUGAGGUGUCGGGUUAAGUGCCAUAACGAGCGCAACCCUUGUUGUCAGUUACUAACAGGUUCCGCUGAGGACUCUGACAAGACUUCCAUCGUAAGAUGUGAGGAAGGUGGGGAUGACGUCAAAUCAGCACGGCCCUUACGUCCGGGGCUACACACGUGUUACAAUGGGGGGUACAGAGGGCCGCUACCACGCGAGUGGAUGCCAAUCCCCAAAACCUCUCUCAGUUCGGACUGGAGUCUGCAACCCGACUCCACGAAGCUGGAUUCGCUAGUAAUCGCGCAUCAGCCACGGCGCGGUGAAUACGUUCCCGGGCCUUGUACACACCGCCCGUCAAGCCAUGGGAGCCGGGGGUACCUGAAGUGCGUAACCGCGAGGAGCGCCCUAGGGUAAAACUGGUGACUGGGGCU